rnacentral:rRNA from 1 species
UGGGGAAUAUUGCGCAAUGGGGGGAACCCUGACGCAGCCAUGCCGCGUGAAUGAAGAAGGCCUUAGGGUUGUAAAGUUCUUUCGGUAUUGAGGAAGGUUGAUGUGUUAAUAGCACAUCAAAUUGACGUUAAAUACAGAAGAAGCACCGGCUAACUCCGUGCCAGCAGCCGCGGUAAUACGGAGGGUGCGAGCGUUAAUCGGAAUAACUGGGCGUAAAGGGCACGCAGGCGGUUAUUUAAGUGAGGUGUGAAAGCCCCGGGCUUAACCCGGGAAUUGCAUUUCAGACUGGGUAACUAGAGUACUUUAGGGAGGGGUAGAAUUCCACGUGUAGCGGUGAAAUGCGUAGAGAUGUGGAGGAAUACCGAAGGCGAAGGCAGCCCCUUGGGAAUGUACUGACGCUCAUGUGCGAAAGCGUGGGGAGCAAACAGGAUUAGAUACCCUGGUAGUCCACGCUGUAAACGCUGUCGAUUUGGGGGUUGGCGUUUAACUCUGGCGCCCGUAGCUAACGUGAUAAAUCGACCGCCUGGGGAGUACGGCCGCAAGGUUA